ensembl:lncRNA
GUUCUUGUACCUGAAGCUGUUCGGGAGGCAUUUUGCUUCUCUCCUUAAAGCAGUGUCUUUCAGUCAGAGUUUUUGUGGCAUUCCCCUCUUCAGAGGCUGAAAUGAAGAUCACAGAUUAGAACUAUUAUAGUUUUUAUUACUAUUACCAAUAUUAUUUUUAUUAUUAUACUUUUGUAUUUAUAAUUUGACUUUUUUCAUUUUGACCUUUUGUUUUGUUGUUCAGUUAGUUAUUAUUGUAAGAGAAGUUUUUAUUGUAGUUUAGUUUUUUAUUAGUUUCAUUGUUAACACUGGUCUUUUUAAUUAUUAUUGAAUAGAGGGCAUAUGUCAGAGGCAAGUUUUAUCAAAAUCAAUUACAAUAAAAACACUGAACUUUUUGAAAUCUGUUUAUUCACAGUCUUGUUGACAUCGAGAGUUUCACAUUCAUCAAAGCGUCAUCGGCUUUCUCUACACUUUCUUUACUCUGCCUGCAGUCGCUCUGGGUCUUACAGUGAAGGGUCACUGAAAAUGAACAGAGAGUUGUUCUGAAAGAACACCUUUACACUAUGAUGAAACAUUUCCGUCCUAACGGGAGUGGUCUCCUCCAAACUGACCGUAGGGCAUGAGGUGUCUCAAGAACCAAACGAAAGAACUAUGGAAGAAUUUGGAGCGGCACUGCUCUCCAACACCACUUUAAAAACACCAAAUGAGGGAAUAUCUUUUGGAAGAAUAAUGUUCCAUCUCUCCAGUAGUUUUCCAGAGACUUGUAGAAUCCACACCGAGGUACACUGAGGCUUCUCUGUGGACGUGUGGUAGCUCAGCUCCUUAGAUUGACUUUCCAUUAACUUGUCACCUGCUUGCAGUAAACGAUGUUGUUUUGUAAAGUAUAAAGAGUAAUGAGGUGCUUACUGAUACAUUUAAAAAGAAAAUAACAGCUGAAGAAUAAAGAUUAGCUACUGAACAAUGAAAUAAAUCGGUUAUUCAUCUGGGAAUUAGGUCAGCAAUAAUAGCUCUAAAAAAGAAAAAGAAAUUGAAAGGCAAGCAGUGGAACAGGUUUCCACACCUCAUAGAAUCCAAAAAAGAGAAUAAAUGUGCAUGCAGUUAUUUUUAAUAAUGGAAUACAUUUACAUAUACUUACUGAAGCUGAUGUUGUUUCUUAUCAGUAACAACUGUGGUAUUGGUAUCACAUCAAUAUGUAGCCCACUGAACUAUGUUAAUGUUUUUUGCUUUAUUUUUCUGAAAAAAUAUAUCUCAGACAUGAACUGUUGAAAAUAUCUGAUUCUUUAUGUGUUGCUUAUGAUGUUUUUUUGUUUUUUUAUUUAUAGCCUAUAUCACAUUUAAACAAGAGAAGCUGACCCAAAGUCUUUUACAAACAGGCACUUUUAUAUUCAAUGGCUUCAAAAAACCCAGUUUCAAAACACAUGACAUACAUGAAAGUGAUUUGAUGUGGUAACUAAUUAUUGUGGAAAGUAGCAAUCACAGUGAUUUGGUCAUUAAUAUGUGUUCAGAAUGAUUCAUCUCAUAAAUCAUGACAUACUGCUCUCCCUUAGAUAAGCUGGCUUUAAAAGAUAAAAGUAUCAGAGUCAGUAUUAGUAUCAGUACUGGCCUUGGAUUUACUUGGAUACCAAAGUGUGCAGUAUCACAGCACUAGACUAACUACUCAGGGGCUCUGAAGAAACUCAAGCUUUGCACGAGCCAAUAGGACAAGAGGGGUGGAGUGACACGAGCUCUAAAGUGCUACAAGGAGUAGAAUGUAACCGUCCCUCGUCAAAAUUUGCCUGGUCCUGGAGAAGGAUGUGAGACGGAAUGGAAAAAUUCAACAGACCAAAUCCGGGAUUUUGGUUAUUUACGCGGGGUUACACUCUUUCUACAAAGUCGCGCGCCUUUACGCAACUAGAGAGCUCUUUGGGAUUUUGGAGGGUGGGGGUCAGU